GACGGAGUGUUCCCGCGGCCGCUUGCCUCAGCCUCCCCUUCCUGGCGCGCGGGAUAAAGGCUCGUCCAGCAGAUGCAGGAGGAAGUAGCUUUCCCAGGCUGUGGAAUUAGGAGAAUAUGUUCUAUAAGAACUCCCCGCUCUCCUUAGGAAACGCCCUGGGGUCCUGUGUUAGCUGCAAAGGCCAAAGGCGUGCUUCACACCUGGAGAGGAGGAGAAGUGGAAGCCUCCGCACGCACACAAGCCCAUCAGUGCUGUCACUGGGGAGAAGCAUCUAGAUGGUGGCAGGAGGGACGGCCACUGCUAACCUGCCACACAGUAUAGAUGGUCCACCUCUUUCGGAGACGAUUUGUCAAGUUUUCUUAGUACCUUCUAGUUCAUGCUGUGACAUCUGACACGUCGGCUAAGUUCCUCUGGAGCGUUUCCUUUUGUACGUCAACGUGUCCACCCUGUGCAACAGGGCCGUUGUCUUCGUGUUCGGACACUGUUUGUAUGGACGCAGCCGACACGUACUGGGAGCUGACUCAUGGCAGGCUGGAGGAGGCUAACCCCCGACACAAACCAUGUACUUAUUGUAUUGUUUUUCUCCCAACUGUGAACUUGGACAGCAUUUUUUUUUUCCGUUUAACAUAGGAAUCUGACUUUACAUUGUAUCCCUACUGUAUCCAGGUUGGGUUCAUUUCACCCACUCUAGGCUGUCAAAUGCUUUGGGAUCCUGAUCCCCAUGCAAUAUUUUAGUCCUCCUAUGCUUUGUAACAUUUGAAAUGAGAUGGGUUUGCCUCUGGGUCUCACCCCAUCACUGAUAAAAUAUGAAGAGAGAAGGCCAAGGGCUGAAAAGAAAACACAUUUCUCUACGAGCCGGGAGAUUUUAGAGAGAAAACUAGUCACUGUGACCAAAAGGACAGAGUGGAGAGCAUGUACGUGCAUUACCAGCAUUGCCUUUAAUUCAAAGGGCCACUUUUAAAAAUACAAAGGAGUAAGCUUUUGCUCCAACCGGUCAGCCAAAAAAACCACAGCCCUGUAAAUAGGAUGUUACAAUCGGGCCCCUUCUCGGGGGACACCACGACAUACGGGCAGCCAGCAGAGUGAGGAUUAAGUCACUCUGCACACGUCCUGUGAGCCUCGAGCCCCUACACUCUCUGCAGAACAGGAAGGACAUCAGUGUGGAAAGAGCUGGAUCUGGAGAGGGCCUUCAUGAGGACAGUAGCUUUGGAGAAGGCCGGGCUUGACCAGCAUCCGUCUGCCCCUUCCACGCCACCCGGAGGCCAGUCCCACCCUGCAACAGAACACAUUUGGUCCCACCACACCUACUUCUACAAGCAACUGCGGACGCUGGACAAAUCAUCAGUAACGUCUUAGCAUCAGUUGACUUAGCAUGACGCUUUCUUCUGGGUUUCUGCAUUACAGUUUCUACUAUAGAGCUACUAUUUAUAUUCCUCACCGGCAAAGUGGAAAAUAACAAGUCAUUAUGUAUACUCAGACUAUACAUACUGGAAUGGGGUAGCUGAUGUGUUCUUUGAAAUUUUGGAAACUAAAUAAAAAUGGAAUUUCACUAGCUUAAUUCCCUCGACUGUUCUAGUCAAGAACUGUUAAGAUUUAGAAUAGCAUAGAAGUGACUUCAUCCUUAGUCUUUAGACACUCUUUUAAAAGAAACUCUAAUUAAUAAAGUGGGUCAGUGACUCAACUGUCCACAUGAAUGUGUCAUACUCAAAAAAGAGAUGACCCAAGGGAGGCUGAUGCCAGACAACUUGGAUUUUUCUACUUAAAAAAACCCAAAGAACCAAGACCAAACCAACACAGAAAACUUAAGCUUAAAGAAAAAUAGAUAAUGGGGAGUAAUUCAGUAAAUUAGUCUCAAAUGCAAGAAAAGUCAUAGUUAUUUUUCUGCCCUCUCUUUGGACAGUUUCCAAACUUACUAUAUAGCCCGGGCCAAACCAGAAGAAAAACAAAUUAUGUGCUGAACUUACAUUUUGGCUUUCCCUAAUGCACGGGAGAAAACCCCUGAAUGAGUAAAACACGGAAUACUUUAAUAUCCACUUUGGAACUUAAAUUGCUUUUUCUUCUCCAUAAAAUCAAGUGCAAUGGAGCAGAAGUUCUGUGUUUGUCACCAAUCCUUUAUUGAAACUGGUAACUGACACGCUUUAUAAUAGAACAACAAAAAUAAUGUUCAAUAUAUACAGUCUUUGCAUGGACUAUUUGACUAUACACAAGGCAGAGUGAUAACACGAUCUAAUUUCCAUAAUAAUUUGUGCACAAAAAGACACCCAGCAGACAAUGUGUGAACAUUACAGUGGAAUGACAUCACGGGUCCAG